rnacentral:rRNA from 1 species
CGAACGCUGGCGGCGUGCCUAACACAUGCAAGUCGUGCGAGAAAAAGGGGGGCGAACUCCCCUGAGUAAAAGCGGCGAACGGGUGAGUAACACGUAGGUGAUCUACCCUCGAGUCCAGGAUAACCUACCGAAAGGUGGGCUAAUACCGGAUAUGACCACGGGAGUCUCGGCUCCUGCGGUGAAAGGUGGCCUCUGCUUGCAAGCUACCGCUCAAGGAUGAGCCUGCGUGCCAUUAGCUAGUUGGUGGGUAACGGCCCACCAAGGCGAUGAUGGCUAGCUGGUCUGAGAGGAUGGCCAGCCACACUGGGACUGGAACACGGCCCAGACUCCUACGGGAGGCAGCAGUGGGGGAGUAUUGCGCAAUGGGCGAAAGCCUGACGCAGCGACGCCGCGUGGGUGAUGAAGGCCUUCGGGUCGUAAAGCCCUGUCGAGGGGAACGAAACGGUUCCGACCCAACACGUCGGGGCCCUGACGGUACCCCUAAAGGAAGCACCGGCUAACUCCGUG